UUAGAUCUGGUCAGGAUGAACGCUGGCGGCGUGCCUAACACAUGCAAGUCGAACGGUGAUGAUUGAUAUUUCGGAUGGAUUUCAUCAGUAGUGGCGGACGGGUGAGUAACGCGUGGAUAACCUGCCUCGUACUGGGGAAUAGCAGCUGGAAACGGCUGGUAAUACCGCAUAAGCGCACGGACCCGCAUGAGUCUGUGUAGAAAGAUUUAUCGGUACGAGAUGGAUCCGCGUCUGAUUAGCCAGUUGGCGGGUAACGGCCACCAAAGCGACGAUCAGUAGCCGGCCUGAGAGGGUGAACGGCCACAUUGGGACUGAGACACGGCCCAGACUCCUACGGGAGGCAGCAGUGGGGAAUAUUGCACAAUGGGGCGAAAGCCUGAUGCAGCGAACCGCCGCGUGAGUGAAGAAGUAUUUCGGUAUGUAAAGCUCUAUCAGCAGGGAAGAAAGGCCCGAAAGGGAGAUGACGGUACCUGACUAAGAAGCCCCGGCUAACUACGUGCCAGCCGCGGC
rnacentral:rRNA from 1 species